rnacentral:rRNA from 1 species
AUAUCCAGUAAACCCUAGAGGCACCAGAUCCUGUCUGAUUUUGGAAGCUAAGCAGGAUAAGCCCUGGCUAGUACUUGGAUGGGAGAUUGCCAACAAAUGCCAGGUGCUGGAGGCU